rnacentral:rRNA from 1 species
CGGGACGGGUGGGUAAUGUCUGGGAAACUAGCCUGAUGGAGGGGGGUAACUACUGGAAACGGUAGCUAAUACCGCAUAACGUCGCAAGACCAAAGAGGGGGACCUUCGGGCCUCUUGCCAUCGGAUGUGCCCAGAUGGGAUUAGCUAGUAGGUGGGGUAACGGCUCACCUAGGCGACGAUCCCUAGCUGGUCUGAGAGGAUGACCAGCCACACUGGAACUGAGACACGGUCCAG